rnacentral:rRNA from 1 species
UACGAAGGGGGCUAGCGUUGCUCGGAAUUACUGGGCGUAAAGCGCACGUAGGCGGCUUUCUAAGUCGGGGGUGAAAUCCUGGAGCUCAACUCCAGAACUGCCUUUGAUACUGAAGAUCUUGAGUUCGGGAGAGGUGAGUGGAACUGCAAGUGUAGAGGUGAAAUUCGUAGAUAUUCGCAAGAACACCAGUGGCGAAGGCGGCUCACUGGCCCGAUACUGACGCUGAGGCACGAAAGCGUGGGGAGCAAACAGG